rnacentral:misc_RNA from 1 species
GAUGAAGAACGUAGCGAAAUGCGAUAAGUAAUGUGAAUUGCAGAAUUCCGUGAAUCAUCGAAUCUUUGAACGCACAUUGCGCCCCCUGGUAUUCCGGGGGGCAUGCCUGUCCGAGCGUCAUUGCUGCCCUCAAGCCCGGCUUGUGUGUUGGGUCUCGUCCCCCUUCCCGGGGGGACGGGCCCGAAAGGCAGCGGCGGCACCGCGUCCGGUCCUCGAGCGUAUGGGGCUUUGUCACCCGCUCUGUAGGCCCGGCCGGCGCUUGCCGAUCAACCAAAACUUUUUUCCAGGUUGACCUCGGAUCAGGUAGGGAUACCCGCUGAACUUAAGCAUAUCAAUAAGCGGAGGA